AUUGAACGCUGGCGGCAUGCUUUACACAUGCAAGUCGAACGGUAACGCGGGGGCAACCCUGGCGACGAGUGGCGAACGGGUGAGUAAUACAUCGGAACGUGCCCAGUAGUGGGGGGUAGCUCGGCGAAAGCCGGAUUAAUACCGCAUACGACCUACGAGUGAAAGCGGGGGAUCGCAAGACCUCGCGCUAUUGGAGCGGCCGAUGGCAGAUUAGCUUGUCGGUGGGGUAAAAGCCUACCAAGGCUACGAUCUGUAGCUGGUCUGAGAGGACGACCAGCCACACUGGGACUGAGACACGGCCCAGACUCCUACGGGAGGCAGCAGUGGGGAAUUUUGGACAAUGGGCGCAAGCCUGAUCCAGCAAUGCCGCGUGUGUGAUGAAGGCCUUCGGGUUGUAAAGCACUUUUAGUGGGAACGAAACGGUCCGGGCCAAUACCCUGGACUACUGACGGUACCCGCAGAAUAAGCACCGGCUAACUACGUGCCAGCCGCCGCGGUAA
rnacentral:rRNA from 1 species